UUCGAAGAUGAAGUUGGACACGUCUUUCGCGCAUGGUGUGGGGGUCUUUCUCAAUUUCAUCCUCUUUUCGAGGUCAAGGAACUCUUCCCGUGUAAUGCCAUGUCUGUGACACACAAUGUGAGCAAUUUCUGUGAGUGGGUGACCCGCCGGGCAUCUUGACCCGGGAUGAAGCAAGAGGGCAGCCAGCGCCUCAGCCUCCCCGCCUCCCCACCGGUGCCUGGCCUUCAGCUCUCUCGUGCAACUUUUUCUCCCCAG